rnacentral:rRNA from 1 species
UAGGCAAGAUUACCCGCUGAAUUUAAGCAUAUUAUUAAGCGGAGGAAAAGAAACUAACAAGGAUUCCCUCAGUAAGGGCGACUGAAGCGGGAAAAGCUCAGACUGAAAAUCUUCGGAAUUGUAGUCUGGAGAGGUGUGACCAGUUGCGAAUGUGGACUAAGUCUCCUGGAACGGAGCGCCAGAGAGGGUGACAGCCCCGUUCAUGUCUAUGUUCAAAGCGUACGGUCUGCCUUCUACGAGUCGAGUUGUUUGGGAUUGCAGCUCUAAGUGGGUGGUAAAUUCCAUCUAAAGCUAAAUAUUGGUGGGAGACCGAUAGCGAACAAGUACCGUGAGGGAAAGAUGAAAAGAAUUUUGAAAAGAAGGUUAAAGAGUACCUGAAAUUGCUGAAAAGGAACCGAUGGGAGGUAGUGUUAGUUCAUUUCCGUUUACGGGUUUGGACAAGUUAGGCUUCCUUCUUUAUGUGAGAAAAGCUUCGUUAGCCAUCUGGCGCGGAUUUGCUGUCAUGUGAAGGAGGGACUCUAACGAAAUGCCUCUUAUCAUCCCGUCUUGUAACACGGACCAAGGAGUCUAACAUGUGUGCGAGUGCUCGGGGUUCAUCCCCCAGCGCGGAAUUAAUGUGAAGGCGGACCUAGUCCGCUGAGGUAGGAUGCUUCGGCUGCACUAUCGACCGACCAUGAUCCCUCGGGAGAAAGGUUUGAGUGUGAGCAUAGAUGUUGGGACCCGAAAGAUGGUGAACUAUGCCUGAGUAGGGCGAAGCCAGGGGAAACUCUGGUGGAGGUCCGUAGCGAUUGUGACGUGCAAAUCCAUCGUCAAAUUUGGGUAUAGGGGCGAAAGACUA